rnacentral:rRNA from 1 species
ACGAAGGGUGCAAGCGUUACUCGGAAUUACUGGGCGUAAAGCGUGCGCAGGCGGUUCGUUGUGUCGGUGGUGAAAGCCCCGGGCUUAACCUGGGAAUGGCCGUCGAAACUGGCGAACUGGAGUGUGGCAGAGGGGGGUGGAAUUCCGCGUGUAGCAGUGAAAUGCGUAGAGAUGCGGAGGAACACCGAUGGCGAAGGCAGCCCCCUGGGCCAACACUGACGCUCAGGCACGAAAGCGUGGGGAGCAAACAGGA